rnacentral:rRNA from 1 species
AUUGAACGCUGGCGGCAGGCCUAACACAUGCAAGUCGAGCGAGCGGCGAACGGGUGAGUAAUGUCUGGGAAACUGCCUGAUGGAGGGGGGUAACUACUGGAAACGGUAGCUAAAAACCCCUACUCUUACAUGUUGCCAGAUGGGCUUAUGUAGUGGGUGGGGUAGUGGCUCACCUAGGGGACAAGCCCUCGCUGGUCGGAGAGGCUGACCAGCCAAACUGGAACUGAGAAACGGUCCAUACUCCGAAGGGAGGAAGCAGUGGGGAAUAUUGCACAAUGGGCGCAAGCCGGAUGCAGCCAUGCGGCGUGUAUGAAGAAGGCCUUCGGGUUGUAAAGUACGUUCAGCGAGGAGGCGUUACUCGCAGAAGAAGCACCGGCUAACUCCGUGCCAGCAGCCGCGGUAAUAC